UCCCUCUCAGGGUCACACCUGGAGAGUUCCCAGUACUCUACCAGUCUCGACUACAGGAGGGAGAGUCAGGCAGAAGUAUAUCCUUUCCAUUCCUAACUUGAGCAGUGGGUAGCGAGUGGCAGGCAAUCUACUACAAGU